UGUGGGUGUCUCCCAGAACUGUGUUGGGGUGCUGUUAUCCAAUGUUAAUAAUUUGAAAGGGUUUAGCAGUUUAUAAGUAAAAUUAAAUAACUAAAGAUCAGAAAUGAGCAAUGCAGCAGCCAGCAAGUAUGUUUUCUGGACUUAAGCAUAAGAAAGGAAGGAACAAUGAUAAUAACUACUGUAUACAGGAAACAGACUUAUCAGCCUGUACUAAUCCCAAGUUGGUCACCGAACCCAGUAGCACAGAAGGUGGCUGCAUUCAGAUACUACUUCAAGAGAGCAUACGAAUACACAAUAAGGAGCUAGGAUCUACAAGAGGAGCUCAACUACAUUUACAAAACGGGACAUGAACAUGGAUACUCGCAAGAAGUUCCUUAACAUGAUACACGUCAAAAUUAAAGUGGCCCAAAGUGACGAAGAAAAUAGAAUUAACAGGAUAAGCAAAGGCAGCGAUAGUUUUCUGAGUGUUCCAUAUCAAACCAGUAGUUUAGGGACG
rnacentral:lncRNA from 1 species